CCCUUAGAUGUUCUGGGCCGCACGCGCGCUACACUGUUUGAUUCAGCGAGUCUUAACCUUGACCGAAAGGUUUGGGUAAUCUUCUAAAGUCAAACGUGAUGGGGAUCGAUCAUUGCAAUUAUUGAUCGUGAACGAGGUAUUCCUAGUAAAUGCAAGUCAUCAGCUUGCGUUGAUUACGUCCCUGCCCUUUGUACACACCGCCCGUCGCUACUACCGAUUGAAUGGUUUAGUGAGAUCUCCGGAUUGGCUCUGUAGGUCCCGCAAGGGAUUUAUUAGUAGCCAAGAAGCUGCUCAAACUUGAUCAUUUAGAGGAAGUAAAAGUCGUAACA
rnacentral:rRNA from 1 species